rnacentral:sRNA from 1 species
GUCAAAGGCUUCUUGAGAACUGCAUUGAUACUGGCUGCACACAAACAGGUGCUAAAUAUAACAUUCAAAUAACGGGAGCCUAAUUAUCAUUUGAGUUAGCACUUCUGAUACUGUCAAUUCCAUUUAAGCUCGCAGCUUACAAUGCUCGACCACUAAGUGUAGAAAUACAGAGGAUUUAAGAUUCAUUUUCUAACUAGGAGGUGGAAUUUAAAAUAAAAUUCAUUUUAAAAAAAAUCCCCUAUCUUGUAAUUCAGUGUACCGGAACCCCCUAAAUCCUUUAUUCCAAAACUGGAGUAAAAUGGACCCCUCUGAUCGCUACAGUGGGAUAAUGAUCGGCAACAAUACAGGUAGAAAGCUUUAAUGGGAUAGAUUUUUUCCUCAGUGAGUGAAUGAGGCUGAACAGAAUAGGACCAAUUAAUAAAACGGCUGAAUGAUCCCCGCACUUCUGAUGGAAUCUACAGUGACUGUCGGAGAUACAAAUUCUGUGUGAUACAGGAAAAUAAAUUACAGUGAGGGACUAUAAGGCCCAAAGUAUUUCCUUUUCCAUUCAACUGUGGAAAAUAACUUGCAUUCUACUAUUCCUGAAUGGGAAAAAAAAACCCUGAAUGAGUUGGAGUUUCAUAAAAAGAAGAAAUAUAUUUGAAAUUUUUAAGAAAAUUACUCUCCUGUGCAGUUAAAAAACUAGAAAAUAAUUGUGGAUGCUUUCAAAGUUGUCACCAUGGAAUUAAGACAGAAGAAAGUGAAUUAAGGUGUGUUCAAUCUUAGGGACGGAAUAUAAUAUUCCCUGUACCCAAGUGCAAAUUGUUGAAAAUUUCCAGGAGAAACAAAUUUCUUAAAUGCCGGUUGGAAAUGUAACCGCGUAUUACACCAACACUUCGCUCGAACAAGGAAUAACCAAUGGAAUGUUUCUGGUGGAAAAUACAAGUGUUCAACUGAAGACAAAUGAGUGUCCAUUCUACCAUGGAGUACUCAACGGAUCAGUCAACUGUAGUGAAAAUCUGGCCAUUGUGGACGAGCCACGGGGCUACAAUUGGCCCAUUCUGUUUCUGACCCCCCUGAUAUUCUUUGGGGUGGGUGGGAAUAUUUUGGUGUGCAUGGCCAUUUCCCUGGAGAAACGGUUACAGAGUGUGACAAAUUAUUUUCUUCUUUCUCUAGCUAUCACGGACCUACUAGUUUGCAUCAUAGUUAUGCCGUUUACAGUGAUAAAUGAUUUUGCAGGGUACUGGUUAUUUGGACCAAUCAUCUGUAACCUCUAUGUGACGGCUGAUGUCUUGAUGUGCACCGCCUCCAUCCUCCACCUCUGUACCAUAUCCUUUAGACCGCUACAUGGCUAUCCGCUCCCCGCUAACCACCAGAAACAUCUCCAAAUCCGUCGUGGUCAUCAAACUGGCCAUCGUCUGGGUCACCUCUAUCGCCAUCUCCAGUCCAAUCACCAUAUUAGGAUUUAUAAAUGAGAGCAACGUUUUUUCGAACCAGCACUGUGCUUUAUCAAACGGUAACUUUCAAGAUCUACGGAUCCGUCUGUGCUUUUUUCAUUCCGCUACUCAUCAUGGUUUUGUCUUAUGGACUGACAUUGUAUACAUUAAUAAGCCAAUCUCAGAAGCUUCAUGCUCAAGGGAAGGAGAAUGAACAACCCGUCAUACGAAGGUCCCUGAGCAGGAAGCCAUUAAAGAGAGGGACCAGAGUCCGAUUUCAGACCAGAAAUCGCAGCACUCAUCACCAAGAAGAGGCUGAUGAGCAUUUAUACACACCCAUAAUAAAUCGCAAAUCUAUCCCCAAAACAUCCUUACAUUCUAGCAUGGAAAACAUGUGCGAAACUUCUAGCCAGAAAGGUACAUGUGCAACCUCUCCAUUAAUAGACAAUCAUCAUCAAUCUAGAAAAAUUCCCACAAAAGAAUUUAGCAUGUCAGAUUCUAGCUGCCAUCUUAAUAUCGACCAUGGGUCCAAUGACCAGUCCAAAGAAAUUGUGCCUUGGACUAGGACAAGAUUAAUUCUACCCAACGGCCAUACCAGCAAUCUGAGGGGACUAGUCAGAAAGCACCAGUUAGUCCUCAAGGCGACCAGCAUAUUGCUGAUGAAGAAAACACACAUUAAGAAGCUAGACUGACGUCCAUACAGAGCAGAAGGCUUCUAAAGUGAUUGGGAUAGUGUUCAUAAUCUUUGUAGUGUGCUGGGCACCGUUCUUCAUUCUCAACAUUAUGACUCCUCUGUGUAAGGACUGUAGGAUUCAGCCUGCAUUGUUCGCCUCCUUCAACUGGUUGGGUUACAUUUCUAGCACCCUGAACCCGAUCAUCUACACCAUGUUCAACAAGACAUUCAAGUUGACCUUCAAGAAACUCCUGCUGUGUCGCUACGACCGUAUCCAACGUAAACAAAGGGUCCAGAGUUGGAUGGUCAGCAAUGGAUCAUUCUAUCACAAUGGCUCCGACUCAAACAACAGUAUAGACAAGUGUGACACUCCAUGCUGAUCACUGAGUACAGGCUGUCAACCAUGUGACAAUUGCUGGUCAACCAUGUGACAAUUGCUGAUCAACCACGUGACAAUUGCUGGAAACAUCAUAUCACAUGUGACAGACACUCAGGUGACUUACUUGAUCUUGUGUGACAGUAUCUUUGACAUGUGGAUCAAAAUACAGCUGUACACAAUAUGUUGAUCAUGUGAAAGUCAUGUGACAAUACAUGUCAUUCAUGUGUGACUUUCCAUGUGGAUCAUGUGACAUGACAAUCAUGCACUAAUUGGAAACAAAAAUACAAAUCUUGUGACAAUUGGGAAAAAUGCCAAGCAUGUGAUCUGUUGGAAACAAUUCAUGUGAUGUAUUGUGUAAGAAACCUGUGAGGUCUGACAUGGAGUGAUGUGAUGUAUAAUGUAACUUUUUGCACUGAAGAAAACAAGGAAGACUGGAAACUCUAUCAUAUUGUGAUAAUUGUGAUUCCUGGAGUUGUGUCUUUGAAGUGUACCAAUAAAUGAGGAACAUUAUAAGUGACCAUCUAGAAAUUGAUACAUUGUGACACAAAAAUGUGUAGGAAAUAGUCUAAACCAUUCUGAUAUCCCAUCCAAUUCCAGUGGUUUUAUAUUACAUGUGAUUUUGACUUGUUCUAAAGACUGAUGAGGACGCUAUUUACUGGAAUACAAAUACUUAUCCUUCUACUAGUCAAUUAUACUGAAACUGACCAUCCUUAACUAAGGAUUUUGGACUGUAUUCUGUGGUUUUAAAUUCCGAGAUUGAACAAUUCUGAUUUUGUAUGGAGUGUCCAAUUUCUAGAGGAGACUAUAAUUUGAAGAAUUUUGAAUUCUUAUUAAUGAUUCACUAUUUCAUUGUGUGAACUCUAAACUGAUGAUUCUGAUUGAGAAUUACAUUUAUGGCAUACUCAUAAAAGACUAUAUUUCAAACUGUGAUAGACUUUAACAACUCAGUAAUCUAUUUUAUUGAACUUUUAUGCAUGUCUUUCUGUGAAUAUUACUAUGUAUAGAUCCAUGAUAUUAAAAAAAAAUGCCAAAUCACCAAAGUGUUCUGGCCUCUUC